UACCUACGGGGGGCAGCAGUGGGGGAUAUUGCACAAUGGGGGAAACCCUGAUGCAGCGACGCCGCGUGAGCGAUGAAGUAUUUCGGUAUGUAAAGCUCUAUCAGCAGGGAAGAAAAUGACGGUACCUGACUAAGAAGCCCCGGCUAACUACGUGCCAGCAGCCGCGGUAAUACGUAGGGGGCAAGCGUUAUCCGGAUUUACUGGGUGUAAAGGGAGCGUAGACGGCAGGGCAAGUCUGAAGUGAAAGGCAAGGGCUCAACCCUUGGACUGCUUUGGAAACUGUUCUGCUCGAGUGUCGGAGAGGC
rnacentral:rRNA from 1 species